rnacentral:rRNA from 1 species
UGAGGAAUAUUGCGCAAUGGGCGAAAGCCUGACCGAGCGAUGCCGCGUGCGGGAUGAAGGCCUUCGGGUUGUAAACCGCUGUCGUAGGGGAGAAAGGGUCGUUGAAGAAACGACUUUGAUCUAUCCUAGGAGGAAGUCCGGGCUAAGUUCGUGCCAGCAGCCGCGGUAACACGAACCGGACAAACGUUAUUCGGAAUUACUGGGCUUAAAGGGUGCGUAGGCGGUGCGGUAAGUGCGGUGUGAAAUCCCACGGCUCAACCGUGGAAUUGCGCUGCAUACUGCCGUGCUAGAGGGAGACAGGGGUAAGCGGAACUGAUGGUGGAGCGGUGAAAUGCGUUGAUAUCAUCAGGAACACCGGUGGCGAAAGCAGCCCCCUGGGUCAAGAUUGACGCUCAUGCACGAAAGCGUGGGGAGCAAACAGGAUUAGAUACCCGUGUAGUCCCUGAGCGGGCUGGCAAGGCGCAU